AUUGAACGCUGGCGGCAUGCCUUACACAUGCAAGUCGAACGGCAGCACGGGAGCAAUCCUGGUGGCGAGUGGCGAACGGGUGAGUAAUAUAUCGGAACGUGCCCAGUCGUGGGGGAUAACGUAGCGAAAGCUACGCUAAUACCGCAUACGAUCUAUGGAUGAAAGCGGGGGAUCGCAAGACCUCGCGCGAUUGGAGCGGCCGAUAUCAGAUUAGGUAGUUGGUGAGGUAAAGGCUCACCAAGCCGACGAUCUGUAGCUGGUCUGAGAGGACGACCAGCCACACUGGGACUGAGACACGGCCCAGACUCCUACGGAGGCAGCAGUGGGGAAUUUUUGGGACAAUGGGCGCAAGCCUGAUCCAGCAAUGCCGCGUGCAGGAUGAAGGCCU
rnacentral:rRNA from 1 species